AAGCGCUUGCAACCAGACUUGAGCGCGGCGGUUCCCCUGGCCUUUUGGCCAGGUUACUCCGUCGUGUCCAGGCCAACAUCGGUUUUGGUGGGCGGAUAAAGGCCUUGGGAAUGUAGCUUCUUUCGGGGAGUGUUAUAGCCCUCGGUGCAAUGCGCCCUACCGGGACCGAGGACCGCGCUUCGGCUAGGAUGCUGGCGUAAUGGUUGUAAGCGA
rnacentral:rRNA from 1 species